CCCUGCGGCCGUCUCGUAGCCGACGCCUCGGCGCCCCGAGUCUCCCUGCGUCGUAUUUCCAUGGCUGCCCGAGGCGGCGUCGCCCCUGCCGGCGAGGGUCUGCGCUACGCCGAGUACUCGCCGCCGGCGACCAAACGGCCGGAGACGGACGUGGACCAGGGACUGGCAAGAAGUUUGAUCGCUGUAGGACUGGGUGUUGCAGCUCUUGCAUUUGCAGGUCGCUAUGUGUUUCAGAUCUGGAAGCCUCUAGAACAAGUAAUCACAGAAACAGCAAAGAAGAUUUCCACUCCUAGCCUUUCAUCCUACUAUAAAGGAGGAUUUGAACAGAAAAUGAGUAGGCGAGAAGCUAGUCUUAUUUUGGGUAUAAGCCCAUCUGCUGGCAAGGCCAAGAUUAGAACAGCUCAUAGGAGAAUUAUGAUUUUGAAUCACCCAGAUAAAGGUGGAUCUCCUUACUUAGCAACCAAAAUAAAUGAAGCAAAAGACUUAUUAGAAGCAACCACCAAACAUUGAUCGAUACUUAAGAAUCAUUCUGAAGGAAAAGAAGAGAGAAUAUAAAAAAAGUCCAAAUUAAUCUAAACUACGGUGUUCAUAAUUUUCAUACAUGUACUGACCACAAUCAUUUAUUCCACUAUUAAGGAGAUGCUGGGCCCGGCUGCCUCUCAGGACACAGUAUUGAUUGGUUCACUUCUAAGGGCUACUAUCAGAAACUGGAACUGUAGACACGUGGAUUUUCUUAGAAGCCCUUGGUGAAACUUGAGUUUUUACCCUUCAUACCAAAAUAAGCAAGGGGAAAAAAUAGAAAUGAGCCCAAUGAUACUUUAAAAUUGAUUUGUGUAUUUAUCUUGUAACAGAGACCAAAGAAAGUACCUAUUUCCUUGGUUUAUUUCUUUCUUGCCUCAGGUGUAUCCCUAGCAGCUUUUGGCCUGCUGCUGCUUAAAAAACUCUAAACAGAGGCAUUGGUAUUCGAAAUGCUGAUGCAACGAAACCGUUACCCUGGGUAUUACUGAAUAUGUCUGCACAAAUGCCUGGAUUCCAUACUUAGUGUAAAUGACGGAUAGGCUACUGUUCUGUCGCCAACUUCUCGCUGAGGGGAGUACAGAUAGGCAUGCCCUGUGUUUCUCCCCUCUCGCCCUUCAUCAUCUGGCCAGUCCCACACAGACGCCACGCGGCGUCAAGUGGUCACUUCGUAAUUCUCUCCCAAGGCCAGUUGGACAGUGCACGCCACAGUCACCUGGCCUGGGAGGGUCUCGUGUUGUCAUGAGACACCAUCCUGUGAUGUGUUUGCAGACAGGAAGGGGAAAGAGGACUGACAGUAUUGGGAUAACAUAACAUGAAGGGUGUGUCUACCAUAAAAUACGAGCUUGAGUUUUGUUUUGUCAGAGAGGAAUAUGUUUUCCACAGCAGUCUGGUGAAUUAAGAACAAUAUACUGAGUCCUACAGGGAACGUGUUCUAUUUGACUCUGUUGAUAGGAUUUAUGUAUGGAACAUCAAUUUUCUGUAUAGACAUAAUUGAGUACAUAUUACCAUGAUAUGAAAAACUGGAAGCAUACAUAUGGUUGUGUAGGCUGUUAAAUUUUAAGAAAUGUAACAAAGAGGAAAAUCAAACCUGAAAACGACGCAGCUGAUGAAAUUAUUAACUUGAAGUUUUUGCUCAAGAUAUAUGCGAAG